rnacentral:lncRNA from 1 species
AAGUCGACGUUCGUGGUGGUAUAUAGGGGGCGCUAGCGAGCCAUUUUUUAAUCACUUUUUUUGGGUCACUUUAUAACAUUGCGAUUCUUCGCUGGGCCCAACCUGCCUGCAAAUUUUCUUGAGUUUUCGAGGUCGUUCAGCGGGUCAAAUUUGUGUUUUCGGAGGCCGUAAGAUAAUAAACAUAAUAAUAAUAAUAAUAAUAAUAAUCGAGAACCCCUUGGGUUUCAAUAGGGCUUUGCUGCACAGCUGCGCUGUCGGCUCGGGUCCUAAUUAUAUCAGUAGAAGUUCAGAGGAAAUAGAACUUUUCCUCUUUCAAGACUGCCAAAUCUUAAAAUAAUUCACUGAUUGGAGGAAUGAAGCCCAAGAAAUUAAGCUGUGAACGUUUCAAGUUAAUUCGUGCAAAAAAAAGUACUCUUUUGAGUAAUGAUGGGGCUGUCACAACAGCUCACGGACUUUUGAACGGUAUGAAUGAAGUAAUUAGAUCACGACCUCAGCUGCUGAUAAGUUGAAGCUCUGGGCUCUGAGCCACCUCCUGACUUUUCUGAAGUUGCCCCCUUGAAGAAUAAGAGGUCCUCAUGAAUCCUGGGAUGAAAAGGGGAAACAUUUAUAUAAAUAUAUUUCUCAAGCUGGCCUCUCGUCCAGCUGGAGAAUUCACUGGCACCCCGGAGAGCCGUUGCCGACCAGCCUGGCCAAACUCCCACACAUUACUACUGUACAGAGUCAAAUGAGGAAGAGGUGGGAGUGUAGUCUGCUCUGAGCAUCUUCUAGUUUCAGCUGACUUCCUUAAAUAGGGCAGAGUGACGCUCUCAGGAUAGUUCUCAGCUUAAUGUGGCUGAAAAUAUUUUAAUUAUGCAGGUGUACAGUCUGUACAGUGGACAGAAAACAGACUGUGUGCUUAAUUACUGUCUCCUUGUACUUGCUCUGACAGUUAAAGGGAGGUAAAAUGCCUUGUGUUUAGUUUCUGGCAGUUACAGUUUCACUAAAAACACUUUUGUAAAUGUUUUUUAUGACAUGAAUUAUGUGUUAGCAUGAGAAAACGCAAGCCUUUUACCCUGGCAAAGACGUCUCACCAGCUUGUUUUCCAAUCUGCUCCCUCUAGUCGCUCAAAUGUCCAUCAACUGUUUACCGUGAGAAGAACAUUUUCUACAGAUUGGGCGUCUAUGUGAGAAAAUACGAGUUUUAUUUUUAAAACGUCCUCAUAAUGCAUUGUCUGCUGCUAAAGAGCAACUUAUCCUCCCUAAAGACUGAGUAGCCAAGAAAAAUAGGAGAGUCUGAUUCAUGGGUUCACGAGCAAAUUCGAGUCUAUUCUCAGCAGUGCUUUGGCCCUUUCACCAUAAUACCAUACUUAGUCUGUGGAGAUAAUGUUGUUUGAGAGCAAAUGGUGUUUUGACUAUUAAUGGAUGGCUCAGGAAAGUGGGUGGUAUGAGAAAGAGGGGUUUGGGUAAUAAAACUGCCAGAGUGUAUACAAUCAUGUUCAGAGCUUUAGUACUUAUCUCUUUGUGUGAUUGUACAAAUGAAAGUUAAUGGCUGAGAAUAUGCACACGUUCGUUUAUUGGCAUAACAUCUGUCAAACGUUUGAUGUUUUGUGAGGAUAAAAAUGUAAUUGGUUUGAACAAGAGUUCUGGCCCCAUCACUAUUUCUCUGGUGCUGUGGUGCACUUGCAUGAGGACACAUAUCCUUCACUAUUUCUGUGCAGUUCAUCAAAUUUGGACAUUUGGGAAUUGGCAUGCAGCCUUCUAGUAAACUUAAAACUUGUUUGGUAGUAAAGUGGACAUGCAAGGAGAAUUUUAACAGGACAUUUACUUUGUCUACGUCUGAACAUACUACAUUGACACCAAAAUCAUACAACCACUAGGUGGCAGCAGAAACAAGGGGUGAGUGUAACACUGACAUAUCACCCCCUUUUAAAUUAUUAGCAAAACAGUGUUUACACAUUUAGCAUCAUCACUCUCUUGCUUGUUGUGUCAUUGUUCACCUGCUAACUAGAGUUCCCAGCUACACAGUCUGUCUGCCUUCCUCUGUGGAACUUCUGUUAGUCCAGAUUUUAACGUCUCCCCUGGACACUGUGUUGAUCUUGUUCGUGCAAAAGGUAUAGGGUCUUGUAGCUGAAUGUGGGUAGAUUUUCGAUUUGAUAGAUUAAUAUUUGUGCCACAAUUGUAGUGCAUUAAAAGGAAAAACUACAAUGAGUGUAAACCAUGUUUUGGUAAACCUAUACCUCUUUUCCUGCUCCUUUGCAGUCUGCAUACAAGCAAACAUAAUGUAUAAUCAGCAAAUGUUUAUAUAAGUACUCAACACUUACAUACUGUAUGUGAAUCAUACAUGUGUUAUCCCUAGUCGCUCAACCUGGAUAUUUAUAGAGGUGGAAAGGCUGUUGAUUCAACAGAAUAUUAAAUACAAAUAAAUGAGAAGUGGAUAUACAAUAUUUAUUAGCCAAUUAUUAAAGUAGUCACUCCUCGGGCUAGGGUUAGGGUUGGGCUUGGAGCUAGGAUUUUUCUGAGUGCAAUGAACCAACUCCCGAGUCUCUAGGACGUUCCUAAAAAAAAUUGAUUUUUUCCCAUAGGAAUGCAUGGGUUAGGGUUAGGGUUAGGGUUGGAGCUAGGGUUAGGGUUAGGGUUAGGGUUGGAGUUAGGGUUAGUGUUGGAGCUAGGGUUAGGGUUGGGCUUGGAGCUAGGAUUUUUCUGAGUGCAAUGAACCAACUCCCGAGUCUCUAGGACGUUCCUAAAAAAAUUUGAUUUUUUCCCAUAGGAAUGCAUGGGUUAGGGUUAGGGUUAGGGUUGGAGCUAGGGUUAGGGUUAGGGUUAGGGUUGGAGUUAGGGUUAGUGUUGAAGCUAGGGUUAGGGUUGGGCUUGGAGCUAGGAUUUUUCUGAGUGCAAUGAACCAACUCCUGAGUCUCUAGGACGUUCCUAAAAAAAAUUGAUUUUUUCCCAUAGGAAUGCAUGGGUUAGGGUUAGGGUUAGGGUUGGAGCUAGGGUUAGGGUUAGGGUUGGAGUUAGGGUUAGUGUUGGAGCUAGGGUUAGGGUUGGGCUUGGAGCUAGGAUUUUUCUGAGUGCAAUGAACCAACUCCCGAGUCUCUAGGACGUUCCUAAAAAAAUUUGAUUUUUUUCCCAUAGGAAUGCAUGGGUUAGGGUUAGGGUUAGGGUUGGAGCUAGGGUUAGGGUUAGGGUUAGGGUUGGAGUUAGGGUUAGUGUUGGAGCUAGGGUAAGGUUUGGGCUUGGAGCUAGGAUUUUUCUGAGUGCAAUGAACCAACUCCCGAGUCUCUAGGACGUUCCUAAAAAAAUUUGAUUUUUUCCCAUAGGAAUGCAUGGGUUAGGGUUAGGGUUAGGGUUGGAGCUAGGGUUAGGGUUAGGGUUAGGGUUGGAGUUAGGGUUAGUGUUGGAGCUAGGGUUAGGGUUGGGCUUGGAGCUAGGAUUUUUCUGAGUGCAAUGAACCAACUCCCGAGUCUCUAGGACGUUCCUAAAAAAAUUUGAUUUUUUCCCAUAGGAAUGCAUGGGUUAGGGUUAGGGUUAGGGUUGGAGCUAGGGUUAGGGUUAGGGUUAGGGUUGGAGUUAGGGUUAGUGUUGGAGCUAGGGUUAGGGUUGGGCUUGGAGCUAGGAUUUUUCUGAGUGCAAUGAACCAACUCCAGAGUCUCUAGGACGUUCCUAAAAAAAUUUGAUUUUUUCCCAUAGGAAUGCAUGGGUUAGGGUUAGGGUUAGGGUUGGAGCUAGGGUUAGGGUUAGGGUUAGGGUUGGAGUUAGGGUUAGUGUUGGAGCUAGGGUUAGGGUUGGGCUUGGAGCUAGGAUUUUUCUGAGUGCAAUGAACCAACUCCCGAGUCUCUAGGACGUUCCUAAAAAAAUUUGAUUUUUUCCCAUAGGAAUGCAUGGGUUAGGGUUAGGGUUAGGGUUGGAGCUAGGGUUAGGGUUAGGGUUAGGGUUGGAGUUAGGGUUAGUGUUGGAGCUAGGGUUAGGGUUGGGCUUGGAGCUAGGAUUUUUCUGAGUGCAAUGAACCAACUCCUGAGUCUCUAGGACGUUCCUAAAAAAAUUGAUUUUUUCCCAUAGGAAUGCAUGGGUUAGGGUUAGGGUUAGGGUUGGAGCUAGGGUUAGGGUUAGGGUUAGGGUUGGAGUUAGGGUUAGUGUUGGAGCUAGGGUUAGGGUUGGGCUUGGAGCUAGGAUUUUUCUGAGUGCACUGAACCAACUCCCGAGUCUCUAGGACGUUCCUAAAAAAAUUUGAUUUUUUCCCAUAGGAAUGCAUGGGUUAGGGUUAGGGUUAGGGUUGGAGCUAGGGUUAGGGUUAGGGUUAGGGUUGGAGUUAGGGUUAGUGUUGGAGCUAGGGUUAGGGUUGGGCUUGGAGCUAGGAUUUUUCUGAGUGCAAUGAACCAACUCCCGAGUCUCUAGGAAGUUCCUAAAAAAAUUUGAUUUUUUCCCAUAGGAAUGCAUGGGUUAGGGUUAGGGUUAGGGUUGGAGCUAGGGUUAGGGUUAGGGUUAGGGUUGGAGUUAGGGUUAGUGUUGGAGCUAGGGUUAGGGUUGGGCUUGGAGCUAGGAUUUUUCUGAGUGCAAUGAACCAACUCCCGAGUCUCUAGGACGUUCCUAAAAAAAUUUGAUUUUUUCCCAUAGGAAUGCAUGGGUUAGGGUUAGGGUUGGAGCUAGGGUUAGGGUUAGGGUUAGGGUUGGAGUUAGGGUUAGUGUUGGAGCUAGGGUUAGGGUUGGGCUUGGAGCUAGGAUUUUUCUGAGUGCAAUGAACCAACUCCCGAGUCUCUAGGACGUUCCUAAAAAAAUUUGAUUUUUUCCCAUAGGAAUGCAUGGGUUAGGGUUAGCGUUAGGGUUGGAGCUAGGGUUAGGGUUAGGGUUAGGGUUGGAGUUAGGGUUAGUGUUGGAGCUAGGGUUAGGGUUGGGCUUGGAGCUAGGAUUUUUCUGAGUGCAGUGAACCAACUCCCGAGUCUCUAGGACGUUCCUAAAAAAAUUUGAUUUUUUCCCAUAGGAAUGCAUGGGUUAGGGUUAUGGUUAGGGUUAGGGUUGGAGCUAGGGUUAGGGUUAGGGUUAGGGUUGGAGUUAGGGUUAGUGUUGGAGCUAGGGUUAGGGUUGGGCUUGGAGCUAGGGUUUUUCUGAGUGCAAUGAACCAACUCCCGAGUCUCUAGGACGUUCCUAAAAAAAUUUGAUUUUUUCCCAUAGGAAUGCAUGGGUUAGGGUUAGGGUUAGGGUUGGAGCUAGGGUUAGGGUUAGGGUUAGGGUUGGAGUUAGGGUUAGUGUUGGAGCUAGGGUUAGGGUUGGGCUUGGAGCUAGGAUUUUUCUGAGUGCAAUGAACCAACUCCCGAGUCUCUAGGACGUUCCUAAAAAAAUUUGAGUUUUUUCCCAUAGGAAUGCAUGGGUUAGGGUUAUGGUUAGGGUUAGGGUUGGAGCUAGGGUUAGGGUUAGGGUUAGGGUUGGAGUUAGGGUUAGUGUUGGAGCUAGGGUUAGGGUUGGGCUUGGAGCUAGGAUUUUUCUGAGUGCAAUGAACCAACCCCGAGUCUCUAGGACGUUCCUAAAAAAAUUUGAUUUUUUCCCAUAGGAAUGCAUGGGUUAGGGUUAGGGUUAGGGUUGGAGCUAGGGUUAGGGUUAGGGUUAGGGUUGGAGUUAGGGUUAGUGUUGGAGCUAGGGUAAGGUUUGGGCUUGGAGCUAGGAUUUUUCUGAGUGCAAUGAACCAACUCCCGAGUCUCUAGGACGUUCCUAAAAAAAUUUGAUUUUUUUCCCAUAGGAAUGCAUGGGUUAGGGUUAGGGUUAGGGUUGGAGCUAGGGUUAGGGUUAGGGUUAGGGUUGGAGUUAGGGUUAGUGUUGGAGCUAGGGUUAGGGUUGGGCUUGGAGCUAGGAUUUUUCUGGGUGCAAUGAACCAACUCCCGAGUCUCUAGGACGUUCCUAAAAAAAUUUGAUUUUUUCCCAUAGGAAUGCAUGGGUUAGGGUUAUGGUUAGGGUUAGGGUUGGAGCUAGGGUUAGGGUUAGGGUUAGGGUUGGAGUUAGGGUUAGUGUUGGAGCUAGGGUUAGGGUUGGGCUUGGAGCUAGGAUUUUUCUGAGUGCAAUGAACCAACUCCCGAGUCUCUAGGACGUUCCAAAAAAAAUUUGAUUUUUUCCCAUAGGAAUGCAUGGGUUAGGGUUAUGGUUAGGGUUGGAGCUAGGGUUAGGGUUAGGGUUAGGGUUGGAGUUAAGGUUAGUGUUGGAGCUAGGGUUAGGGUUGGGCUUGGAGCUAGGAUUUUUCUGAGUGCAGUGAACCAACUCCCGAGUCUCUAGGACGUUCCUAAAAAAAAUUGAUUUUUUCCCAUAGGAAUGCAUGGGUUAGGGUUAGGGUUAGGGUUAGGGUUGGAGCUAGGGUUAGGGUUAGGGUUAGGGUUGGAGUUAGGGUUAGUGUUGGAGCUAGGGUUAGGGUUGGGCUUGGAGCUAGGAUUUUUCUGAGUGCAAAGAACCAACCCCCGAGUCUCUAGGACGUUCCUAAAAAAAUUUGAUUUUUUCCCAUAGGAAUGCAUGGGUUAGGGUUAUGGUUAGGGUUAGGGUUGGAGCUAGGGUUAGGGUUAGGGUUAGGGUUGGAGUUAGGGUUAGUGUUGGAGCUAGGGUUAGGGUUGGGCUUGGAGCUAGGAUUUUUCUGAGUGCAAUGAACCAACUCCCGAGUCUCUAGGACGUUCCUAAAAAAAUUUGAUUUUUUCCCAUAGGAAUGCAUGGGUUAGGGUUAGGGUUAGGGUUGGAGCUAUGGUUAGGGUUAGGGUUAGGGUUGGAGUUAGGGUUAGUGUUGGAGCUAGGGUUAGGGUUGGGCUUGGAGCUAGGAUUUUUCUGAGUGCAAUGAACCAACUCCCGAGUCUCUAGGACGUUCCUAAAAAAAUUGGAUUUUUUCCCAUAGGAAUGCAUGGGUCAGGGUUAGGUUUAGGGUUGGAGCUAGGGUUAGGGUUAGGGUUAGUGUUGGAGCUAGGGUUAGGGUUGGGCUUGGAGCUAGGAUUUGUCUGAGUGCAAUGAACCAACUCCCGAGUCUCUAGGACGUUCCUAAAAAAAUUUGAUUUUUUCCCAUAGGAAUGCAUGGGUUAGGGUUAGGGUUAGGGUUGGAGCUAGGGUUAGGGUUAGGGUUAGGGUUGGAGUUAAGGUUAGUGUUGGAGCUAGGGUUAGGGUUGGGCUUGGAGCUAGGAUUUUUCUGAGUGCAGUGAACCAACUCCCGAGUCUCUAGGACGUUCCUAAAAAAAUUUGAUUUUUUCCCAUAGGAAUGCAUGGGUUAGGGUUAUGGUUAGGGUUAGGGUUGGAGCUAGGGUUAGGGUUAGGGUUAGGGUUGGAGUUAGGGUUAGUGUUGGAGCUAGGGUUAGGGUUGGGCUUGGAGCUAGGAUUUUUCUGAGUGCAAUGAACCAACCCCCGAGUCUCUAGGACGUUCCUAGAAAAAUUUGAUUUUUUCCCAUAGGAAUGCAUGGGUUAGGGUUAUGGUUAGGGUUAGGGUUGGAGCUAGGGUUAGGGUUAGGGUUAGGGUUGGAGUUAGGGUUAGUGUUGGAGCUAGGGUUAGGGUUGGGCUUGGAGCUAGGAUUUUUCUGAGUGCAAUGAACCAACUCCCGAGUCUCUAGGACGUUCCUAAAAAAAUUUGAUUUUUUCCCAUAGGAAUGCAUGGGUUAGGGUUAGGGUUAGGGUUGGAGCUAGGGUUAGGGUUAGGGUUGGAGUUAGGGUUAGUGUUGGAGCUAGGGUUAGGGUUGGGCUUGGAGCUAGGAUUUUUCUGAGUGCAAUGAACCAACUCCCGAGUCUCUAGGACGUUCCUAAAAAAAUUUGAUUUUUCCCAUAGGAAUGCAUGGGUCAGGGUUAGGGUUAGGGUUGGAGCUAGGGUUAGGGUUAGGGUUAGGGUUGGAGUUAGGGUUAGUGUUGGAGCUAGGGUUAGGGUUGGGCUUGGAGCUAGGAUUUUUCUGAGUGCACUGAACCAACUCCCGAGUCUCUAGGACAUUCCUAAAAAAAUUUGAUUUUUUCCCAUAGGAAUGCAUGGGUUAGGGUUAGGGUUAGGGUUGGAGCUAGGGUUAGGGUUAGGGUUAGGGUUGGAGUUAGGGUUAGUGUUGGAGCUAGGGUUAGGGUUGGGCUUGGAGCUAGGAUUUUUCUGAGUGCACUGAACCAACUCCCGAGUCUCUAGGACAUUCCUAAAAAAAUUUGAUUUUUUCCCAUAGGAAUGCAUGGGUUAGGGUUAUGGUUAGGGUUAGGGUUGGAGCUAGGGUUAGGGUUAGGGUUAGGGUUGGAGUUAGGGUUAGGGUUAGUGUUGGAGCUAGGGUUAGGGUUGGGCUUGGAGCUAGGAUUUUUCUGAGUGCAAUGAACCAACUCCCGAGUCUCUAGGACGUUCCCUAAAAAAAUUUGAUUUUUUCCCAUAGGAAUGCAUGGGUUAGGGUUAGGGUUAGGGUUAGGGUUGGAGCUAGGGUUAGGGUUAGGGUUAGGGUUGGAGUUAGGGUUAGUGUUGGAGCUAGGGUUAGGGUUGGGCUUGGAGCUAGGAUUUUUCUGAGUGCAAUGAACCAACUCCCGAGUCUCUAGGACGUUCCAAAAAAAAUUUGAUUUUUUCCCAUAGGAAUGCAUGGGUUAGGGUUAUGGUUAGGGUUAGGGUUGGAGCUAGGGUUAGGGUUAGGGUUAGGGUUGGAGUUAGGGUUAGUGUUGGCGCUAGGGUUAGGGUUGGGCUUGGAGCUAGGAUUUUUCUGAGUGCAAUGAACCAACUCCCGAGUCUCUAGGACGUUCCUAAAAAAAUUUGAUUUUUUCCCAUAGGAAUGCAUGGGUUAGGGUUAGGGUUAGGGUUGGAGCUAGGGUUAGGGUUAGGGUUAGGGUUGGAGUUAGGGUUAGUGUUGGAGCUAGGGUUAGGGUUGGGCUUGGAGCUAGGAUUUUUCUGAGUGCACUGAACCAACUCCCGAGUCUCUAGGACAUUCCUAAAAAAAUUUGAUUUUUUUCCCAUAGGAAUGCAUGGGUUAGGGUUAUGGUUAGGGUUAGGGUUGGAGCUAGGGUUAGGGUUAGGGUUAGGGUUGGAGUUAGGGUUAGUGUUGGAGCUAGGGUUAGGGUUGGGCUUGGAGCUAGGACUUUUCUGAGUGCAAUGAACCAACUCCCGAGUCUCUAGGACGUUCCCUAAAAAAAUUUGAUUUUUUCCCAUAGGAAUGCAUGGGUUAGGGUUAGGGUUAGGGUUGGAGCUAGGGUUAGGGUUAGGGUUAGGGUUGGAGUUAGGGUUAGUGUUGGAGCUAGGGUUAGGGUUGGGCUUGGAGCUAGGAUUUUUCUGAGUGCAAUGAACCAACUCCCGAGUCUCUAGGACGUUCCUAAAAAAAUUUGAUUUUUUCCCAUAGGAAUGCAUGGGUUAGGGUUAGGGUUAGGGUUGGAGCUAGGGUUAGGGUUAGGGUUAGGGUUGGAGUUAGGGUUAGUGUUGGAGCUAGGGUUAGGGUUGGGCUUGGAGCUAGGAUUUUUCUGAGUGCAAUGAACAAACUCCCGAGUCUCUAGGAAGUUCCUAAAAAAAUUUGAUUUUUUCCCAUAGGAAUGCAUGGGUUAGGGUUAGGGUUAGGGUUGGAGCUAGGGUUAGGGUUAGGGUUAGGGUUGGAGUUAGGGUUAGUGUUGGAGCUAGGGUUAGGGUUGGGCUUGGAGCUAGGAUUUUUCUGAGUGCAGUGAACCAACUCCCGAGUCUCUAGGACGUUCCUAAAAAAAUUUGAUUUUUUCCCAUAGGAAUGCAUGGGUCAGGGUUAGGGUUAGGGUUGGAGCUAGGGUUAGGGUUAGGGUUAGGGUUGGAGUUAGGGUUAGUGUUGGAGCUAGGGUUAGGGUUGGGCUUGGAGCUAGGAUUUUUCUGAGUGCAAUGAACCAACUCCCGAGUCUCUAGGACGUUCCUAAAAAAAUUUGAUUUUUUCCCAUAGGAAUGCAUGGGUUAGGGUUAGGGUUAGGGUUGGAGCUAGGGUUAGGGUUAGGGUUAGGGUUGGAGUUAGGGUUAGUGUUAGAGCUAGGGUAAGGUUUGGGCUUGGAGCUAGGAUUUUUCUGAGUGCAAUGAACCAACUCCCGAGUCUCUAGGACGUUCCUAAAAAAAUUUGAUUUUUUCCCAUAGGAAUGCAUGGGUUAGGGUUAGGGUUAGGGUUGGAGCUAGGGUUAGGGUUAGGGUUAGGGUUGGAGUUAGGGUUAGUGUUGGAGCUAGGGUUAGGGUUGGGCUUGGAGCUAGGAUUUUUCUGAGUGCAAUGAACCAACUCCCGAGUCUCUAGGACGUUCCUAAAAAAAUUUGAUUUUUUCCCAUAGGAAUGCAUGGGUUAGGGUUAGGGUUGGAGCUAGUGUUAGGGUUAGGGUUGGAGCUAGGGUUAGGGUUAGGGUUAGGGUUGGAGUUAGGGUUAGUGUUGGAGCUAGGGUUAGGUUUGGGCUUGGAGCUAGGAUUUUUCUGAGUGCAAUGAACCAACUCCCGAGUCUCUAGGACGUUCCUAUAAAAAUUUGAUUUUUUCCCAUAGGAAUGCAUGGGUUAGGGUUAGGGUUAGGGUUGGAGCUAGGGUUAGGGUUAGGGUUAGGGUUGGAGUUAGGGUUAGUGUUGGAGCUAGGGUUAGGGUUGGGCUUGGAGCUAGGAUUUUUCUGAGUGCAAUGAACCAACUCCCGAGUCUCUAGGACGUUCCUAAAAAAAUUUGAUUUUUUCCCAUAGGAAUGCAUGGGUUAGGGUUAUGGUUAGGGUUAGGGUUGGAGCUAGGGUUAGGGUUAGGGUUAGGGUUGGAGUUAGGGUUAGUGUUGGAGCUAGGGUUAGGGUUGGGCUUGGAGCUAGGACUUUUCUGAGUGCAAUGAACCAACUCCCGAGUCUCUAGGACGUUCCCUAAAAAAAUUUGAUUUUUUCCCAUAGGAAUGCAUGGGUUAGGGUUAGGGUUAGGGUUGGAGCUAGGGUUAGGGUUAGGGUUAGGGUUGGAGUUAGGGUUAGUGUUGGAGCUAGGGUUAGGGUUGGGCUUGGAGCUAGGAUUUUUCUGAGUGCAAUGAACCAACUCCCGAGUCUCUAGGACGUUCCUAAAAAAAUUUGAUUUUUUCCCAUAGGAAUGCAUGGGUUAGGGUUAGGGUUAGGGUUGGAGCUAGGGUUAGGGUUAGGGUUAGGGUUGGAGUUAGGGUUAGUGUUGGAGCUAGGGUUAGGGUUGGGCUUGGAGCUAGGAUUUUUCUGAGUGCAAUGAACCAACUCCCGAGUCUCUAGGAAGUUCCUAAAAAAAUUUGAUUUUUUCCCAUAGGAAUGCAUGGGUUAGGGUUAGGGUUAGGGUUGGAGCUAGGGUUAGGGUUAGGGUUAGGGUUGGAGUUAGGGUUAGUGUUGGAGCGAGGGUUAGGGUUGGGCUUGGAGCUAGGAUUUUUCUGAGUGCAGUGAACCAACUCCCGAGUCUCUAGGACGUUCCUAAAAAAAUUUGAUUUUUUCCCAUAGGAAUGCAUGGGUCAGGGUUAGGGUUAGGGUUGGAGCUAGGGUUAGGGUUAGGGUUAGGGUUGGAGUUAGGGUUAGUGUUGGAGCUAGGGUUAGGGUUGGGCUUGGAGCUAGGAUUUUUCUGAGUGCAAUGAACCAACUCCCGAGUCUCUAGGACGUUCCUAAAAAAAUUUGAUUUUUUCCCAUAGGAAUGCAUGGGUUAGGGUUAGGGUUAGGGUUGGAGCUAGGGUUAGGGUUAGGGUUAGGGUUGGAGUUAGGGUUAGUGUUAGAGCUAGGGUAAGGUUUGGGCUUGGAGCUAGGAUUUUUCUGAGUGCAAUGAACCAACUCCCGAGUCUCUAGGACGUUCCUAAAAAAAUUUGAUUUUUUCCCAUAGGAAUGCAUGGGUUAGGGUUAGGGUUAGGGUUGGAGCUAGGGUUAGGGUUAGGGUUAGGGUUGCAGUUAGGGUUAGUGUUGGAGCUAGGGUAAGGGUUGGGCUUGGAGCUAGGAUUUUUCUGAGUGCAAUGAACCAACUCCCGAGUCUCUAGGACGUUCCUAAAAAAAUUUGAUUUUUUUCCAUAGGAAUGCAUGGGUUAGGGUUAGGGUUGGAGCUAGUGUUAGGGUUAGGGUUGGAGCUAGGGUUAGGGUUAGGGUUAGGGUUGGAGUUAGGGUAAGUGUUGGAGCUAGGGUUAGGUUUGGGCUUGGAGCUAGGAUUUUUCUGAGUGCAAUGAACCAACUCCCGAGUCUCUAGGACGUUCCUAUAAAAAUUUGAUUUUUUCCCAUAGGAAUGCAUGGGUUAGGGUUAGGGUUAGGGUUGGAGCUAGGGUUAGGGUUAGGGUUAGGGUUGGAGUUAGGGUUAGUGUUGGAGCUAGGGUUAGGGUUGGGCUUGGAGCUAGGAUUUUUCUGAGUGCAAUGAACCAACUCCCGAGUCUCUAGGACGUUCCUAAAAAAAUUUGAUUUUUUCCCAUAGGAAUGCAUGGGUUAGGGUUAGGGUUAGGGUUGGAGCUAGGGUUAGGGUUAGGGUUAGGGUUGGAGUUAAGGUUAGUGUUGGAGCUAGGGUUAGGGUUGGGCUUGGAGCUAGGAUUUUUCUGAGUGCAGUGAACCAACUCCCGAGUCUCUAGGACGUUCCUAAAAAAAUUUGAUUUUUUCCCAUAGGAAUGCAUGGGUUAGGGUUAUGGUUAGGGUUAGGGUUGGAGCUAGGGUUAGGGUUAGGGUUAGGGUUGGAGUUAGGGUUAGUGUUGGAGCUAGGGUUAGGGUUGGGCUUGGAGCUAGGAUUUUUCUGAGUGCAAUGAACCAACUCCCGAGUCUCUAGGACGUUCCUAAAAAAAUUUGAUUUUUUCCCAUAGGAAUGCAUGGGUUAGGGUUAUGGUUAGGGUUAGGGUUGGAGCUAGGGUUAGGGUUAGGGUUAGGGUUGGAGUUAGGGUUAAUGUUGGAGCUAGGGUUAGGGUUGGGCUUGGAGAUAGGAUUUUUCUGAGUGCAAUGAACCAACUCCCGAGUCUCUAGGACGUUCCUAAAAAAAAUUGAUUUUUUCCCAUAGGAAUGCAUGGGUUAGGGUUAGGGUUAGGGUUGGAGCUAGGGUUAGGGUUAGGGUUGGAGUUAGGGUUAGUGUUGGAGCUAGGGUUAGGGUUGGGCUUGGAGCUAGGAUUUUUCUGAGUGCACUGAACCAACUCCCGAGUCUCUAGGACAUUCCUAAAAAAAUUUGAUUUUUUUCCCAUAGGAAUGCAUGGGUUAGGGUUAUGGUUAGGGUUAGGGUUGGAGCUAGGGUUAGGGUUAGGGUUAGGGUUGGAGUUAGGGUUAGUGUUGGAGCUAGGGUUAGGGUUGGGCUUGGAGCUAGGAUUUUUCUGAGUGCAAUGAACCAACUCCCGAGUCUCUUGGACGUUCCUAAAAAAAUUUGAUUUUUUCCCAUAGGAAUGCAUGGGUUAGGGUUAGGGUUAGGGUUGGAGCUAGGGUUAGGGUUAGGGUUGGAGUUAGGGUUAGUGUUGGAGCUAGGGUUAGGGUUGGGCUUGGAGCUAGGAUUUUUCUGAGUGCAAUGAACCAACUCCCGAGUCUCUAGGACGUUCCUAAAAAAAUUUGAGUUUUUCCCAUAGGAAUGCAUGGGUUAGGGUUAUGGUUAGGGUUGGAGCUAGGGUUAGGGUUAGGGUUAGGGUUGGAGUUAGGGUUAGUGUUGGAGCUAGGGUUAGGGUUGGGCUUGGAGCUAGGAUUUUUCUGAGUGCAAUGAACCAACUCCCGAGUCUCUAGGACGUUCCUAAAAAAAUUUGAUUUUUUCCCAUAGGAAUGCAUGGGUUAGGGUUAGGGUUAGGGUUGGAGCUAGGGUUAGGGUUAGGGUUAGGGUUGGAGUUAGGGUUAGUGUUGGAGCUAGGGUAAGGUUUGGGCUUGGAGCUAGGAUUUUUCUGAGUGCAAUGAACCAACUCCCGAGUCUCUAGGACGUUCCUAAAAAAAUUUGAUUUUUUUCCCAUAGGAAUGCAUGGGUUAGGGUUAGGGUUAGGGUUGGAGCUAGGGUUAGGGUUAGGGUUAGGGUUGGAGUUAGGGUUAGUGUUGGAGCUAGGGUUAGGGUUGGGCUUGGAGCUAGGAUUUUUCUGGGUGCAAUGAACCAACUCCCGACUCUCUAGGACGUUCCUAAAAAAAUUUGAUUUUUUCCCAUAGGAAUGCAUGGGUUAGGGUUAUGGUUAGGGUUAGGGUUGGAGCUAGGGUUAGGGUUAGGGUUAGGGUUGGAGUUAGGGUUAGUGUUGGAGCUAGGGUUAGGGUUGGGCUUGGAGCUAGGAUUUUUCUGAGUGCAAUGAACCAACUCCCGAGUCUCGAGGACGUUCCAAAAAAAAUUUGAUUUUUUCCCAUAGGAAUGCAUGGGUUAGGGUUAUGGUUAGGGUUGGAGCUAGGGUUAGGGUUAGGGUUAGGGUUGGAGUUAAGGUUAGUGUUGGAGCUAGGGUUAGGGUUGGGCUUGGAGCUAGGAUUUUUCUGAGUGCAGUGAACCAACUCCCGAGUCUCUAGGACGUUCCUAAAAAAAUUUGAUUUUUUCCCAUAGGAAUGCAUGGGUUAGGGUUAUGGUUAGGGUUAGGGUUGGAGCUAGGGUUAGGGUUAGGGUUAGGGUUGGAGUUAGGGUUAGUGUUGGAGCUAGGGUUAGGGUUGGGCUUGGUACUAGGAUUUUUCUGAGUGCAAUGAACCAACCCCCGAGUCUCUAGGACGUUCCUAAAAAAAUUAGAUUUUUUCCCAUAGGAAUGCAUGGGUUAGGGUUAUGGUUAGGGUUAGGGUUGGAGCUAGGGUUAGGGUUAGGGUUAGGGUUGGAGCUAGGGUUAGGGUUAGGGUUAGGGUUGGAGUUAGGGUUAGUGUUGGAGCUAGGGUUAGGGUUGGGCUUGGAGCUAGGAUUUUUCUGAGUGCAAUGAACCAACUCCCGAGUCUCUAGGACGUUCCUAAAAAAAUGUGAGUUUUUCCCAUAGGAAUGCAUGGGUUAGGGUUAGGGUUAGGGUUGGAGCUAGGGUUAGGGUUAGGGUUAGGGUUGGAGUUAGGGUUAGUGUUGGAGCUAGGGUUAGGGUUGGGCUUGGAGCUAGGAUUUUUCUGAGUGCAAUGAACCAACUCCCGAGUCUCUAGGACGUUCCUAAAAAAAUUUGAUUUUUUCCCAUAGGAAUGCAUGGGUUAGGGUUAGGGUUAGGGUUAGGGUUGGAGCUAGGGUUAGGGUUAGGGUUAGGGUUGGAGUUAGGGUUAGUGUUGGAGCUAGGGUUAGGGUUGGGCUUGGAGCUAGGAUUUUUCUGAGUGCAAUGAACCAACUCCCGAGUCUCUAGGACGUUCCAAAAAAAAUUUGAUUUUUUCCCAUAGGAAUGCAUGGGUUAGGGUUAGGGUUAGGGUUGGAGCUAGGGUUAGGGUUAGGGUUAGGGUUGGAGUUAUGGUUAGUGUUGGAGCUAGGGUUAGGGUUUGGCUUGGAGCUAGGAUUUUUCUGAGUGCAGUGAACCAACUCCCGAGUCUCUAGGACGUUCCUAAAAAAAUUUGAUUUUUUCCCAUAGGAAUGCAUGGGUUAGGGUUAUGGUUAGGGUUAGGGUUGGAGCUAGGGUUAGGGUUAGGGUUAGGGUUGGAGUUAGGGUUAGUGUUGGAGCUAGGGUUAGGGUUGGGCUUGGAGCUAGGAUUUUUCUGAGUGCAAUGAACCAACUCCCGAGUCUCUAGGACGUUCCUAAAAAAAUUUGAUUUUUUCCCAUAGGAAUGCAUGGGUUAGGGUUAUGGUUAUGGUUAGGGUUGGAGCUAGGGUUAGGGUUAGGGUUAGGGUUGGAGUUAGGGUUAGUGUUGGAGCUAGGGUUAGGGUUGGGCUUGGAGCUAGGAUUUUUCUGAGUGCAAUGAACCAACUCCCGAGUCUCUAGGACGUUCCUAAAAAAAUUUGAUUUUUUCCCAUAGGAAUGCAUGGGUCAGGGUUAGGGUUAGGGUUGGAGCUAGGGUUAGGGUUAGGGUUAGGGUUGGAGUUAGGGUUAGUGUUGGAGCUAGGGUUAGGGUUGGGCUUGGAGCUAGGAUUUUUCUGAGUGCACUGAACCAACUCCCGAGUCUCUAGGACAUUCCUAAAAAAUUUGAUUUUUUCCCAUAGGAAUGCAUGGGUUAGGGUUAGGGUUAGGGUUGGAGCUAGGGUUAGGGUUAGGGUUAGGGUUGGAGUUAGGGUUAGUGUUGGAGCUAGGGUUAGGGUUGGGCUUGGAGCUAGGAUUUUUCUGAGUGCAAUGAACCAACUCCCGAGUCUCUAGGACGUUCCUAAAAAAAUUUGAUUUUUUCCCAUAGGAAUGCAUGGGUUAGGGUUAGGGUUAGGGUUGGAGCUAGGGUUAGGGUUAGGGUUAGGGUUAGGGUUGGAGUUAGGGUUAGUGUUGGAGCUAGGGUUAGGGUUGGGCUUGGAGCUAGGAUUUUUCUGAGUGCACUGAACCAACUCCCGAGUCUCUAGGACAUUCCUAAAAAAAUUUGAUUUUUUCCCAUAGGAAUGCAUGGGUUAGGGUUAGGGUUAGGGUUGGAGCUAGGGUUAGGGUUAGGGUUAGGGUUGGAGUUAGGGUUAGUGUUGGAGCUAGGUUUAGGGUUGGGCUUGGAGCUAGGAUUUUUCUGAGUGCACUGAACCAACUCCCGAGUCUCUAGGACAUUCCUAAAAAAAUUUGAUUUUUUCCCAUAGGAAUGCAUGGGUUAGGGUUAGGGUUAGGGUUGGAGCUAGGGUUAGGGUUAGGGUUAGGGUUGGAGUUAGGGUUAGUGUUGGAGCUAGGGUUAGGGUUGGGCUUGGAGCUAGGAUUUUUCUGAGUGCAAUGAACCAACUCCCGAGUCUCUAGGACGUUCCUAAAAAAAUUUGAUUUUUUCCCAUAGGAAUGCAUGGGUUAUGGUUAGGGUUAGGGUUGGAGCUAGGGUUAGGGUUAGGGUUAGGGUUAGGGUUGGAGUUAGGGUUAGUGUUGGGGCUAGGGUUAGGGUUGGGCUUGGAGCUAGGAUUUUUCUGAGUGCAAUGAACCAACUCCCGAGUCUCUAGGACGUUCCUAAAAAAAUUUGAUUUUUUCCCAUAGGAAUGCAUGGGUUAGGGUUAGGGUUAGGGUUGGAGCUAGGGUUAGGGUUAGGGUUAGGGUUGGAGAUAGGGUUAGUGUUGGAGCUAGGGUUAGGGUUGGGCUUGGAGCUAGGAUUUUUCUGAGUGCAAUGAACCAACUCCCGAGUCUCUAGGACGUUCCUAAAAAAAUUUGUUUUUUUCCCAUAGGAAUGCAUGGGUCAGGGUUAGGGUUAGGGUUGGAGCUAGGGUUAGGGUUAGGGUUAGGGUUGGAGUUAGGGUUAGUGUUGGAGCUAGGGUUAGGGUUGGGCUUGGAGCUAGGAUUUUUCUGAGUGCACUGAACCAACUCCCGAGUCUCUAGGACAUUCCUAAAAAAAUUUGAUUUUUUCCCAUAGGAAUGCAUGGGUUAGGGUUAGGGUUAGGGUUGGAGCUAGGGUUAGGGUUAGGGUUAGGGUUGGAGUUAGGGUUAGUGUUGGAGCUAGGGUUAGGGUUGGGCUUGGAGCUAGGAUUUUUCUGAGUGCACUGAACCAACUCCCGAGUCUCUAGGACAUUCCUAAAAAAAUUUGAUUUUUUCCCAUAGGAAUGCAUGGGUUAGGGUUAUGGUUAGGGUUAGGGUUGGAGCUAGGGUUAGGGUUAGGGUUAGGGUUGGAGUUAGGGUUGGUGUUGGAGCUAGGGUUAGGGUUGGGCUUUGAGCUAGGACUUUUCUGAGUGCAAUGAACCAACUCCCGAGUCUCUAGGACGUUCCCUAAAAAAAUUUGAUUUUUUCCCAUAGGAAUGCAUGGGUUAGGGUUAGGGUUAGGGUUAGGGUUGGAGCUAGGGUUAGGGUUAGGGUUAGGGUUGGAGUUAGGGUUAGUGUUGGAGCUAGGGUUAGGGUUGGGCUUGGAGCUAGGAUUUUUCUGAGUGCAAUGAACCAACUCCCGAGUCUCUAGGACGUUCCAAAAAAAAUUUGAUUUUUUCCCAUAGGAAUGCAUGGGUUAGGGUUAUGGUUAGGGUUAGGGUUGGAGCUAGGGUUAGGGUUAGGGUUAGGGUUGGAGUUAGGGUUAGUGUUGGAGCUAGGGUUAGGGUUGGGCUUGGAGCUAGGAUUUUUCUGAGUGCAAUGAACCAACUCCCGAGUCUCUAGGACGUUCCUAAAAAAAUUUGAUUUUUUCCCAUAGGAAUGCAUGGGUUAGGGUUAGGGUUAGGGUUGGAGCUAGGGUUAGGGUUAGGGUUAGGGUUGGAGAUAGGGUUAGUGUUGGAGCUAGGGUUAGGGUUGGGCUUGGAGCUAGGAUUUUUCUGAGUGCAAUGAACCAACUCCCGAGUCUCUAGGACGUUCCUAAAAAAAUUUGAUUUUUUCCCAUAGGAAUGCAUGGGUCAGGGUUAGGGUUAGGGUUGGAGCUAGGGUUAGGGUUAGGGUUAGGGUUGGAGUUAGGGUUAGUGUUGGAGCUAGGGUUAGGGUUGGGCUUGGAGCUAGGAUUUUUCUGAGUGCACUGAACCAACUCCCGAGUCUCUAGGACAUUCCUAAAAAAAUUUGAUUUUUUCCCAUAGGAAUGCAUGGGUUAGGGUUAGGGUUAGGGUUGGAGCUAGGGUUAGGGUUAGGGUUAGGGUUGGAGUUAGGGUUAGUGUUGGAGCUAGGGUUAGGGUUGGGCUUGGAGCUAGGAUUUUUCUGAGUGCACUGAACCAACUCCCGAGUCUCUAGGACAUUCCUAAAAAAAUUUGAUUUUUUCCCAUAGGAAUGCAUGGGUUAGGGUUAUGGUUAGGGUUAGGGUUGGAGCUAGGGUUAGGGUUAGGGUUAGGGUUGGAGUUAGGGUUGGUGUUGGAGCUAGGGUUAGGGUUGGGCUUUGGAGCUAGGACUUUUCUGAGUGCAAUGAACCAACUCCCGAGUCUCUAGGACGUUCCCUAAAAAAAUUUGAUUUUUUCCCAUAGGAAUGCAUGGGUUAGGGUUAGGGUUAGGGUUAGGGUUGGAGCUAGGGUUAGGGUUAGGGUUAGGGUUGGAGUUAGGGUUAGGGUUAGGGUUAGGGUUGGAGUUAGGGUUAGUGUUGGAGCUAGGGUUAGGGUUGGGCUUGGAGCUAGGAUUUUUCUGAGUGCAAUGAACCAACUCCCGAGUCUCUAGGACAUUCCUAAAAAAAAUUGAUUUUUUCCCAUAGGAAUGCAUGGGUUAGGGUUAUGGUUAGGGUUAGGGUUGGAGCAAGGGUUAGGGUUAGGGUUAGGGUUGGAGUUAGGGUUAGUGUUGGAGCUAGGGUUAGGGUUGGGCUUGGAGCUAGGACUUUUCUGAGUGCAAUGAACCAACUCCCGAGUCUCUAGGACGUUCCCUAAAAAAAUUUGAUUUUUUCCCAUAGGAAUGCAUGGGUUAGGGUUAGGGUUAGGGUUGGAGCUAGGGUUAGGGUUAGGGUUAGGGUUGGAGUUAGGGUUAGUGUUGGAGCUAGGGUUAGGGUUGGGCUUGGAGCUAGGAUUUUUCUGAGUGCAAUGAACCAACUCCCGAGUCUCUAGGACGUUCCUAAAAAAUUUUGAUUUUUUCCCAUAGGAAUGCAUGGGUUAGGGUUAGGGUUAGGGUUAGGGUUGGAGCUAGGGUUAGGGUUAGGGUUAGGGUUGGAGUUAGGGUUAGUGUUGGAGCUAGGGUUAGGGUUGGGCUUGGAGCUAGGAUUUUUCUGAGUGCAAUGAACCAACUCCCGAGUCUCUAGGACGUUCCAAAAAAAAUUUGAUUUUUUCCCAUAGGAAUGCAUGGGUUAGGGUUAGGGUUAGGGUUGGAGCUAGGGUUAGGGUUAGGGUUAGGGUUGGAGUUAAGGUUAGUGUUGGAGCUAGGGUUAGGGUUUGGCUUGGAGCUAGGAUUUUUCUGAGUGCAGUGAACCAACUCCCGAGUCUCUAGGACGUUCCUAAAAAAAUUUGAUUUUUUCCCAUAGGAAUGCAUGGGUUAGGGUUAUGGUUAGGGUUAGGGUUGGAGCUAGGGUUAGGGUUAGGGUUAGGGUUGGAGUUAGGGUUAGUGUUGGAGCUAGGGUUAGGGUUGGGCUUGGAGCUAGGAUUUUUCUGAGUGCAAUGAACCAACUCCCGAGUCUCUAGGACGUUCCUAAAAAAAUUUGAUUUUUUCCCAUAGGAAUGCAUGGGUUAGGGUUAUGGUUAGGGUUAGGGUUGGAGCUAGGGUUAGGGUUAGGGUUAGGGUUAGGGUUGGAGUUAGGGUUAGUGUUGGAGCUAGGGUUAGGGUUGGGCUUGGAGCUAGGAUUUUUCUGAGUGCAAUGAACCAACUCCCGAGUCUCUAGGACGUUCCUAAAAAAAUUUGAUUUUUUCCCAUAGGAAUGCAUGGGUCAGGGUUAGGGUUAGGGUUGGAGCUAGGGUUAGGGUUAGGGUUAGGGUUGGAGUUAGGGUUAGUGUUGGAGCUAGGGUUAGGGUUGGGCUUGGAGCUAGGAUUUUUCUGAGUGCACUGAACCAACUCCCGAGUCUCUAGGACAUUCCUAAAAAAAUUUGAUUUUUUCCCAUAGGAAUGCAUGGGUUAGGGUUAGGGUUAGGGUUGGAGCUAGGGUUGGGGUUAGGGUUAGGGUUGGAGUUAGGGUUAGUGUUGGAGCUAGGGUUAGGGUUGGGCUUGGAGCUAGGAUUUUUCUGAGUGCAAUGAACCAACUCCCGAGUCUCUAGGACGUUCCUAAAAAAAUUUGAUUUUUUCCCAUAGGAAUGCAUGGGUUAGGGUUAGGGUUAGGGUUGGAGCUAGGGUUAGGGUUAGGGUUAGGGUUAGGGUUGGAGUUAGGGUUAGUGUUGGAGCUAGGGUUAGGGUUGGGCUUGGAGCUAGGAUUUUUCUGAGUGCACUGAACCAACUCCCGAGUCUCUAGGACAUUCCUAAAAAAAUUUGAUUUUUUCCCAUAGGAAUGCAUGGGUUAGGGUUAGGGUUAGGGUUGGAGCUAGGGUUAGGGUUAGGGUUAGGGUUGGAGUUAGGGUUAGUGUUGGAGCUAGGUUUAGGGUUGGGCUUGGAGCUAGGAUUUUUCUGAGUGCACUGAACCAACUCCCGAGUCUCUAGGACAUUCCUAAAAAAAUUUGAUUUUUUCCCAUAGGAAUGCAUGGGUUAGGGUUAGGGUUAGGGUUGGAGCUAGGGUUAGGGUUAGGGUUAGGGUUGGAGUUAGGGUUAGUGUUGGAGCUAGGGUUAGGGUUGGGCUUGGAGCUAGGAUUUUUCUGAGUGCAAUGAACCAACUCCCGAGUCUCUAGGACGUUCCUAAAAAAAUUUGAUUUUUUCCCAUAGGAAUGCAUGGGUUAUGGUUAGGGUUAGGGUUGGAGCUAGGGUUAGGGUUAGGGUUAGGGUUAGGGUUGGAGUUAGGGUUAGUGUUGGGGCUAGGGUUAGGGUUGGGCUUGGAGCUAGGAUUUUUCUGAGUGCAAUGAACCAACUCCCGAGUCUCUAGGACGUUCCUAAAAAAAUUUGAUUUUUUCCCAUAGGAAUGCAUGGGUUAGGGUUAGGGUUAGGGUUGGAGCUAGGGUUAGGGUUAGGGUUAGGGUUGGAGAUAGGGUUAGUGUUGGAGCUAGGGUUAGGGUUGGGCUUGGAGCUAGGAUUUUUCUGAGUGCAAUGAACCAACUCCCGAGUCUCUAGGACGUUCCUAAAAAAAUUUGUUUUUUUCCCAUAGGAAUGCAUGGGUCAGGGUUAGGGUUAGGGUUGGAGCUAGGGUUAGGGUUAGGGUUAGGGUUGGAGUUAGGGUUAGUGUUGGAGCUAGGGUUAGGGUUGGGCUUGGAGCUAGGAUUUUUCUGAGUGCACUGAACCAACUCCCGAGUCUCUAGGACAUUCCUAAAAAAAUUUGAUUUUUUCCCAUAGGAAUGCAUGGGUUAGGGUUAGGGUUAGGGUUGGAGCUAGGGUUAGGGUUAGGGUUAGGGUUGGAGUUAGGGUUAGUGUUGGAGCUAGGGUUAGGGUUGGGCUUGGAGCUAGGAUUUUUCUGAGUGCACUGAACCAACUCCCGAGUCUCUAGGACAUUCCUAAAAAAAUUUGAUUUUUUCCCAUAGGAAUGCAUGGGUUAGGGUUAUGGUUAGGGUUAGGGUUGGAGCUAGGGUUAGGGUUAGGGUUAGGGUUGGAGUUAGGGUUGGUGUUGGAGCUAGGGUUAGGGUUGGGCUUUGAGCUAGGACUUUUCUGAGUGCAAUGAACCAACUCCCGAGUCUCUAGGACGUUCCCUAAAAAAAUUUGAUUUUUUCCCAUAGGAAUGCAUGGGUUAGGGUUAGGGUUAGGGUUAGGGUUGGAGCUAGGGUUAGGGUUAGGGUUAGGGUUGGAGUUAGGGUUAGUGUUGGAGCUAGGGUUAGGGUUGGGCUUGGAGCUAGGAUUUUUCUGAGUGCAAUGAACCAACUCCCGAGUCUCUAGGACGUUCCAAAAAAAAUUUGAUUUUUUCCCAUAGGAAUGCAUGGGUUAGGGUUAUGGUUAGGGUUAGGGUUGGAGCUAGGGUUAGGGUUAGGGUUAGGGUUGGAGUUAGGGUUAGUGUUGGCGCUAGGGUUAGGGUUGGGCUUGGAGCUAGGAUUUUUCUGAGUGCAAUGAACCAACUCCCGAGUCUCUAGGACGUUCCUAAAAAAAUUUGAUUUUUUCCCAUAGGAAUGCAUGGGUUAGGGUUAGGGUUAGGGUUGGAGCUAGGGUUAGGGUUAGGGUUAGGGUUGGAGAUAGGGUUAGUGUUGGAGCUAGGGUUAGGGUUGGGCUUGGAGCUAGGAUUUUUCUGAGUGCAAUGAACCAACUCCCGAGUCUCUAGGACGUUCCUAAAAAAAUUUGAUUUUUUCCCAUAGGAAUGCAUGGGUCAGGGUUAGGGUUAGGGUUGGAGCUAGGGUUAGGGUUAGGGUUAGGGUUGGAGUUAGGGUUAGUGUUGGAGCUAGGGUUAGGGUUGGGCUUGGAGCUAGGAUUUUUCUGAGUGCACUGAACCAACUCCCGAGUCUCUAGGACAUUCCUAAAAAAAUUUGAUUUUUUCCCAUAGGAAUGCAUGGGUUAGGGUUAGGGUUAGGGUUGGAGCUAGGGUUAGGGUUAGGGUUAGGGUUGGAGUUAGGGUUAGUGUUGGAGCUAGGGUUAGGGUUGGGCUUGGAGCUAGGAUUUUUCUGAGUGCACUGAACCAACUCCCGAGUCUCUAGGACAUUCCUAAAAAAAUUAGAUUUUUUCCCAUAGGAAUGCAUGGGUUAGGGUUAUGGUUAGGGUUAGGGUUGGAGCUAGGGUUAGGGUUAGGGUUAGGGUUGGAGUUAGGGUUGGUGUUGGAGCUAGGGUUAGGGUUGGGCUUUGAGCUAGGACUUUUCUGAGUGCAAUGAACCAACUCCCGAGUCUCUAGGACGUUCCCUAAAAAAAUUUGAUUUUUUCCCAUAGGAAUGCAUGGGUUAGGGUUAGGGUUAGGGUUAGGGUUGGAGCUAGGGUUAGGGUUAGGGUUAGGGUUAGAGUUAGGGUUAGUGUUGGAGCUAGGGUUAGGGUUGGGCUUGGAGCUAGGAUUUUUCUGAGUGCACUGAACCAACUCCCGAGUCUCUAGGACAUUCCUAAAAAAAAUUGACUUUUUCCCAUAGGAAUGCAUGGGUUAGGGUUAGGGUUAGGGUUAGGGUUGGAGCUAGGGUUAGGGUUAGGGUUAGGGUUGGAGUUAGGGUUAGUGUUGGAGCUAGGGUUAGGGUUGGGCUUGGAGCUAGGACUUUUCUGAGUGCAAUGAACCAACUCCCGAGUCUCUAGGACGUUCCCUAAAAAAAUUUGAUUUUUUCCCAUAGGAAUGCAUGGGUUAGGGUUAGGUGUGGGGUUGGAGCUAGGGUUAGGGUUAGGGUUAGGGUUGGAGUUAGGGUUAGUGUUGGAGCUAGGGUUAGGUUUGGGCUUGGAGCUAGGAUUUUUCUGAGUGCAAUGAACCAACUCCCGAGUCUCUAGGACGUUCCUAAAAAAUUUUGAUUUUUUCCCAUAGGAAUGCAUGGGUUAGGGUUAGGGUUAGGGUUGGAGCUAGGGUUAGGGUUAGGGUUAGGGUUGGAGUUAGGGUUAGUGUUGGAGCUAGGGUUAGGGUUGGGCUUGGAGCUAGGAUUUUUCUGAGUGCAAUGAACCAACUCCCGAGUCUCUAGGAAGUUCCUAAAAAAAUUUGAUUUUUUCCCAUAGGAAUGCAUGGGUUAGGGUUAGGGUUAGGGUUGGAGCUAGGGUUAGGGUUAGGGUUAGGGUUGGAGUUAGGGUUAGUGUUGGAGCGAGGGUUAGGGUUGGGCUUGGAGCUAGGAUUUUUCUGAGUGCAAUGAACCAACUCCCGAGUCUCUAGGACGUUCCUAAAAAAAUUUGAUUUUUUCCCAUAGGAAUGCAUGGGUUAGGGUUAGGGUUAGGGUUGGAGCUAGGGUUAGGGUUAGGGUUAGGGUUGGAGUUAGGGUUAGUGUUGGAGCUAGGGUUAGGGUUGGGCUUGGAGCUAGGAUUUUUCUGAGUGCAAUGAACCAACUCCCGAGUCUCUAGGACGUUCCUAAAAAAAUUUGAUUUUUUCCCAUAGGAAUGCAUGGGUUAGGGUUAGGGUUAGGGUUGGAGCUAGGGUUAGGGUUAGGGUUAGGGUUGGAGUUAGGGUUAGUGUUAGAGCUAGGGUAAGGUUUGGGCUUGGAGCUAGGAUUUUUCUGAGUGCAAUGAACCAACUCCCGAGUCUCUAGGACGUUCCUAAAAAAAUUUGAUUUUUUUCCAUAGGAAUGCAUGGGUUAGGGUUAUGGUUAGGGUUAGGGUUGGAGCUAGGGUUAGGGUUAGGGUUAGGGUUGGAGUUAGGGUUAGUGUUGGAGCUAGGGUUAGGGUUGGGCUUGGAGCUAGGAUUUAUCUGAGUGCAAUGAACCAACUCCCGAGUCUCUAGGACGUUCCUAAAAAAAUUUGAUUUUUUCCCAUAGGAAUGCAUGGGUUAGGGUUAGGGUUAGGGUUGGAGCUAGGGUUAGGGUUAGGGUUAGGGUUGCAGUUAGGGUUAGUGUUGGAGCUAGGGUAAGGUUUGGGCUUGGAGCUAGGAUUUUUCUGAGUGCAAUGAACCAACUCCCGAGUCUCUAGGACGUUCCUAAAAAAAUUUGAUUUUUUUCCAUAGGAAUGCAUGGGUUAGGGUUAGGGUUGGAGCUAGUGUUAGGGUUAGGGUUGGAGCUAGGGUUAGGGUUAGGGUUAGGGUUGGAGUUAGGGUUAGUGUUGGAGCUAGGGUUAGGGUUGGGCUUGGAGCUAGGAUUUUUCUGAGUGCAAUGAACCAACUCCCGAGGCUCUUGGACGUUCCUAAAAAAAUUAGAUUUUUUCCCAUAGGAAUGCAUGGGUUAGGGUUAGGGUUAGGGUUGGAGCUAGGGUUAGGGUUAGGGUUAGGGUUGGAGUUAGGGUUAGUGUUGGAGCUAGGGUUAGGGUUGGGCUUGGAGCUAGGAUUUUUCUGAGUGCAAUGAACCAACUCCCGAGUCUCUAGGACGUUCCUAAAAAAAUUUGAUUUUUUCCCAUAGGAAUGCAUGGGUUAGGGUUAGGGUUAGGGUUGGAGCUAGGGUUAGGGUUAGGGUUAGGGUUGGAGUUAAGGUUAGUGUUGGAGCUAGGGUUAGGGUUGGGCUUGGAGCUAGGAUUUUUCUGAGUGCAGUGAACCAACUCCCGAGUCUCUAGGACGUUCCUAAAAAAAUUUGAUUUUUUCCCAUAGGAAUGCAUGGGUUAGGGUUAUGGUUAGGGUUAGGGUUGGAGCUAGGGUUAGGGUUAGGGUUAGGGUUGGAGUUAGGGUUAGUGUUGGAGCUAGGGUUAGGGUUGGGCUUGGAGCUAGGAUUUUUCUGAGUGCAAUGAACCAACUCCCGAGUCUCUAGGACGUUCCUAAAAAAAUUUGAUUUUUUCCCAUAGGAAUGCAUGGGUUAGGGUUAGGGUUAGGGUUGGAGCUAGGGUUAGGGUUAGGGUUGGAGUUAGGGUUAGUGUUGGAGCUAGGGUUAGGGUUGGGCUUGGAGCUAGGAUUUUUCUGAGUGCACUGAACCAACUCCCGAGUCUCUAGGACAUUCCUAAAAAAAUUUGAUUUUUUCCCAUAGGAAUGCAUGGGUUAGGGUUAUGGUUAGGGUUAGGGUUGGAGCUAGGGUUAGGGUUAGGGUUAGGGUUGGAGUUAGGGUUAGUGUUGGAGCUAGGGUUAGGGUUGGGCUUGGAGCUAGGAUUUUUCUGAGUGCAAUGAACCAACUCCCGAGUCUCUAGGACGUUCCUAAAAAAAUUUGAUUUUUUCCCAUAGGAAUGCAUGGGUUAGGGUUAGGGUUAGGGUUGGAGCUAGGGUUAGGGUUAGGGUUAGGGUUGGAGUUAGGGUUAGUGUUAGAGCUAGGGUAAGGUUUGGGCUUGGAGCUAGGAUUUUUCUGAGUGCAAUGAACCAACUCCCGAGUCUCUAGGACGUUCCUAAAAAAAUUUGAUUUUUUCCCAUAGGAAUGCAUGGGUUAGGGUUAGGGUUAGGGUUGGAGCUAGGGUUAGGGUUAGGGUUAGGGUUGCAGUUAGGGUUAGUGUUGGAGCUAGGGUAAGGUUUGGGCUUGGAGCUAGGAUUUUUCUGAGUGCAAUGAACCAACUCCCGAGUCUCUAGGACGUUCCUAAAAAAAUUUGAUUUUUUUCCCAUAGGAAUGCAUGGGUUAGGGUUAUGGUUAGGGUUAGGGUUGGAGCUAGGGUUAGGGUUAGGGUUAGGGUUGGAGUUAGGGUUAGUGUUGGAGCUAGGGUUAGGGUUGGGCUUGGAGCUAGGAUUUAUCUGAGUGCAAUGAACCAACCCCCGAGUCUCUAGGACGUUCCUAAAAAAAUUUGAUUUUUUCCCAUAGGAAUGCAUGGGUUAGGGUUAUGGUUAGCGUUAGGGUUGGAGCUAGGGUUAGGGUUAGGGUUAGGGUUGGAGUUAGGGUUAGUGUUGGAGCUAGGGUUAGGGUUGGGCUUGGAGCUAGGAUUUUUCUGAGUGCACUGAACCAACUCCCGAGUCUCUAGGACGUUCCUAAAAAAAUUUGAUUUUUUCCCAUAGGAAUGCAUGGGUCAGGGUUAGGGUUAGGGUUGGAGCUAGGGUUAGGGUUAGGGUUAGGGUUGGAGUUAGGGUUAGUGUUGGAGCUAGGGUUAGGGUUGGGCUUGGAGCUAGGAUUUUUCUGAGUGCAAUGAACCAACUCCCGAGUCUCUAGGACGUUCCUAAAAAAAUUUGAUUUUUUCCCAUAGGAAUGCAUGGGUUAGGGUUAGGGUUAGGGUUAGGGUUGGAGCUAGGGUUAGGGUUAGGGUUAGGGUUGGAGUUAGGGUUAGUGUUGGAGCUAGGGUUAGGGUUGGGCUUGGAGCUAGGAUUUUUCUGAGUGCAAUGAACCAACUCCCGAGUCUCUAGGACGUUCCUAAAAAAAUUUGAUUUUUUCCCAUAGGAAUGCAUGGGUUAGGGUUAGGGUUAGGGUUGGAGCUAGGGUUAGGGUUAGGGUUAGGGUUGGAGUUAGGGUUAGUGUUGGAGCUAGGGUUAGGGUUGGGCUUGGAGCUAGGAUUUUUCUGAGUGCAAUGAACCAACUCCCGAGUCUCUAGGACGUUCCUAAAAAAAUUUGAUUUUUUCCCAUAGGAAUGCAUGGGUUAGGGUUAGGGUUAGGGUUGGAGCUAGGGUUAGGGUUAGGGUUAGGGUUGGAGUUAGGGUUAGUGUUGGAGCUAGGGUUAGGGUUGGGCUUGGAACUAGGACUUUUCUGAGUGCAAUGAACCAACUCCCGAGUCUCUAGGACGUUCCCUAAAAAAAUUUGAUUUUUUCCCAUAGGAAUGCAUGGGUUAGGGUUAGGGUUAGGGUUGGAGCUAGGGUUAGGGUUAGGGUUAGGGUUAGAGUUAGGGUUAGUGUUGGAGCUAGGGUUAGGGUUGGGCUUGGAGCUAGGAUUUUUCUGAGUGCACUGAACCAACUCCCGAGUCUCUAGGACGUUCCUAAAAAAAUUUGAUUUUUUCCCAUAGGAAUGCAUGGGUUAGGGUUAGGGUUAGGGUUGGAGCUAGGGUAAGGGUUAGGGUUAGGGUUGGAGUUAGGGUUAGUGUUGGAGCUAGGGUUAGGGUUGGGCUUGGAGCUAGGACUUUUCUGAGUGCAAUGAACCAACUCCCGAGUCUCUAGGACGUUCCCUAAUAAAAUUUGAUUUUUUCCCAUAGGAAUGCAUGGGUUAGGGUUAGGGUUAGGGUUGGAGCUAGGGUUAGGGUUAGGGUUAGGGUUGGAGUUAGGGUUAGUGUUGGAGCUAGGGUUAGGGUUGGGCUUGGAGCUAGGAUUUUUCUGAGUGCACUGAACCAACUCCCGAGUCUCUAGGACAUUCCUAAAAAAAUUUGAUUUUUUCCCAUAGGAAUGCAUGGGUUAGGGUUAUGGUUAGGGUUAGGGUUGGAGCUAGGGUUAGGGUUAGGGUUAGGGUUGGAGUUAGGGUUAGUGUUGGAGCUAGGGUUAGGGUUGGGCUUGGAGCUAGGAUUUUUCUGAGUGCAAUGAACCAACUCCCGAGUCUCUUGGACAUUCCUAAAAAAAUUUGAUUUUUUCCCAUAGGAAUGCAUGGGUUAGGGUUAGGGUUAGGGUUGGAGCUAGGGUUAGGGUUAGGGUUAGGGUUGGAGUUAGGGUUAGUGUUGGAGCUAGGGUUAGGGUUGGGCUUGGAGCUAGGAUUUUUCUGAGUGCAAUGAACCAACUCCCGAGUCUCUAGGACGUUCCUAAAAAAAUUUGAUUUUUUCCCAUAGGAAUGCAUGGGUUAGGGUUAGGGUUAGGGUUAGGGUUGGAGCUAGGGUUAGGGUUAGGGUUAGGGUUGGAGUUAGGGUUAGUGUUGGAGCUAGGGUUAGGGUUGGGCUUGGAGCUAGGAUUUUUCUGAGUGCAAUGAACCAACCCCGAGUCUCUAGGACGUUCCUAAAAAAAUUUGAUUUUUUCCCAUAGGAAUGCAUGGGUUAGGGUUAUGGUUAGGGUUAGGGUUGGAGCUAGGGUUAGGGUUAGGGUUAGGGUUGGAGUUAGGGUUAGUGUUGGAGCUAGGGUUAGGGUUGGGCUUGGAGCUAGGAUUUUUCUGAGUGCACUGAACCAACUCCCGAGUCUCUAGGACAUUCCUAAAAAAAAUUGAUUUUUUCCCAUAGGAAUGCAUGGGUUAGGGUUAGGGUUAGGGUUGGAGCUAGGGUUAGGGUUAGGGUUGGAGUUAGGGUUAGUGUUGGAGCUAGGGUUAGGGUUGGGCUUGGAGCUAGGACUUUUCUGAGUACAAUGAACCAACUCCCGAGUCUCUAGGACGUUCCCUAAAAAAAUUUGAUUUUUUCCCAUAGGAAUGCAUGGGUUAGGGUUAGGGUUAGGGUUGGAGCUAGGGUUAGGGUUAGGGUUAGGGUUGGAGUUAGGGUUAGUGUUGGAGCUAGGGUUAGGGUUGGGCUUGGAGCUAGGAUUUUUCUGAGUGCACUGAACCAACUCCCGAGUCUCUAGGACAUUCCUAAAAAAAUUUGAUUUUUUCCCAUAGGAAUGCAUGGGUUAGGGUUAUGGUUAGGGUUAGGGUUGGAGCUAGGGUUAGGGUUAGGGUUAGGGUUGGAGUUAGGGUUAGUGUUGGAGCUAGGGUUAGGGUUGGGCUUGGAGCUAGGAUUUUUCUGAGUGCAAUGAACCAACUCCUGAGUCUCUAGGACUUUCCUAAAAAAAUUUGAUUUUUUCCCAUAGGAAUGCAUGGGUUAGGGUUAGGGUUAGGGUUAGGGUUGGAGCUAGGGUUAGGGUUAGGGUUAGGGUUGGAGUUAGGGUUAGUGUUGGAGCUAGGGUUAGGGUUGGGCUUGGAGCUAGGAUUUUUCUGAGUGCAAUGAACCAACCCCUAGUCUCUAGGACGUUCCUAAAAAAAUUUGAUUUUUUCCCAUAGGAAUGCAUGGGUUAGGGUUAUGGUUAGGGUUAGGGUUGGAGCUAGGGUUAGGGUUAGGGUUAGGGUUGGAGUUAGGGUUAGUGUUGGAGCUAGGGUUAGGGUUGGGCUUGGAGCUAGGAUUUUUCUGAGUGCACUGAACCAACUCCCGAGUCUCUAGGACAUUCCUAAAAAAAUUGAUUUUUUCCCAUAGGAAUGCAUGGGUUAGGGUUAGGGUUGGAGCUAGGGUUAGGGUUAGGGUUGGAGUUAGGGUUAGUGUUGGAGCUAGGGUUAGGGUUGGGCUUGGAGCUAGGACUUUUCUGAGUGCAAUGAACCAACUCCCGAGUCUCUAGGACGUUCCCUAAAAAAAUUUGAUUUUUUCCCAUAGGAAUGCAUGGGUUAGGGUUAGGGUUAGGGUUGGAGCUAGGGUUAGGGUUAGGGUUAGGGUUGGAGUUAGGGUUAGUGUUGGAGCUAGGGUUAGGGUUGGGCUUGGAGCUAGGAUUUUUCUGAGUGCACUGAACCAACUCCCGAGUCUCUAGGACAUUCCUAAAAAAAUUGAUUUUUUCCCAUAGGAAUGCAUGGGUUAGGGUUAGGGUUAGGGUUGGAGCUAGGGUUAGGGUUAGGGUUAGGGUUGGAGUUAGGGUUAGUGUUGGAGCUAGGGUUAGGGUUGGGCUUGGAGCUAGGAUUUUUCUGAGUGCACUGAACCAACUCCCGAGUCUCUAGGACAUUCCUAAAAAAAAAUUUGAUUUUUUCCCAUAGGAAUGCAUGGGUUAGGGUUAUGGUUAGGGUAAGGGUUGGAGCUAGGGUUAGGGUUAGGGUUAGGGUUGGAGUUAGGGUUAGUGUUGGAGCUAGGGUUAGGGUUGGGCUUGGAGCUAGGAUUUUUCUGAGUGCAAUGAACCAACUCCCGAGUCUCUUGGACAUUCCUAAAAAAAUUUGAUUUUUUCCCAUAGGAAUGCAUGGGUUAGGGUUAGGGUUAGGGUUGGAGCUAGGGUUAGGGUUAGGGUUAGUGUUGGAGCUAGGGUUAGGGUUGGGCUUGGAGCUAGGACUUUUCUGAGUGCAAUGAACCAACUCCCGAGUCUCUAGGACGUUCCCUAAAAAAAUUUGAUUUUUUCCCAUAGGAAUGCAUGGGUUAGGGUUAGGGUUAGGGUUGGAGCUAGGGUUAGGGUUAGGGUUAGGGUUGGAGUUAGGGUUAGUGUUGGAGCUAGGGUUAGGGUUGGGCUUGGAGCUAGGAUUUUUCUGAGUGCACUGAACCAACUCCCGAGUCUCUAGGACAUUCCUAAAAAAAUUUGAUUUUUUCCCAUAGGAAUGCAUGGGUUAGGGUUAUGGUUAGGGUUAGGGUUGGAGCUAGGGUUAGGGUUAGGGUUAGGGUUGGAGUUAGGGUUAGUGUUGGAGCUAGGGUUAGGGUUGGGCUUGGAGCUAGGAUUUUUCUGAGUGCAAUGAACCAACUCCCGAGUCUCUAGGACGUUCCUAAAAAAUUUGAUUUUUUCCCAUAGGAAUGCAUGGGUUAGGGUUAGGGUUAGGGUUGGAGCUAGGGUUAGGGUUAGGGUUAGGGUUGGAGUUAGGGUUAGUGUUGGAGCUAGGGUUAGGGUUGGGCUUGGAGCUAGGAUUUUUCUGAGUGCAAUGAACCAACUCCCGAGUCUCUAGGACGUUCCUAAAAAAAUUUGAUUUUUUCCCAUAGGAAUGCAUGGGUUAGGGUUAGGGUUAGGGUUAGGGUUGGAUCUAGGGUUAGGGUUAGGGUUAGGGUUGGAGUUAGGGUUAGUGUUGGAGCUAGGGUUAGGGUUGGGCUUGGAGCUAGGAUUUUUCUGAGUGCAAUGAACCAACCCCGAGUCUCUAGGACGUUCCUAAAAAAAUUUGAUUUUUUCCCAUAGGAAUGCAUGGGUUAGGGUUAUGGUUAGGGUUAGGGUUGGAGCUAGGGUUAGGGUUAGGGUUAGGGUUGGAGUUAGGGUUAGUGUUGGAGCUAGGGUUAGGGUUGGGCUUGGAGCUAGGAUUUUUCUGAGUGCACUGAACCAACUCCCGAGUCUCUAGGACAUUCCUAAAAAAAAUUGAUUUUUUCCCAUAGGAAUGCAUGGGUUAGGGUUAGGGUUAGGGUUGGAGCUAGGGUUAGGGUUAGGGUUGGAGUUAGGGUUAGUGUUGGAGCUAGGGUUAGGGUUGGGCUUGGAGCUAGGACUUUUCUGAGUGCAAUGAACCAACUCCCGAGUCUCUAGGACGUUCCCUAAAAAAAUUUGAUUUUUUCCCAUAGGAAUGCAUGGGUUAGGGUUAGGGUUAGGGUUGGAGCUAGGGUUAGGGUUAGGGUUAGGGUUGGAGUUAGGGUUAGUGUUGGAGCUAGGGUUAGGGUUGGGCUUGGAGCUAGGAUUUUUCUGAGUGCACUGAACCAACUCCCGAGUCUCUAGGACAUUCCUAAAAAAAAUUGAUUUUUUUCCCAUAGGAAUGCAUGGGUUAGGGUUAGGGUUAGGGUUGGAGCUAGGGUUAGGGUUAGGGUUAGGGUUGGAGUUAGGGUUAGUGUUGGAGCUAGGGUUAGGGUUGGGCUUGGAGCUAGGAUUUUUCUGAGUGCACUGAACCAACUCCCGAGUCUCUAGGACAUUCCUAAAAAAAUUUGAUUUUUUCCCAUAGGAAUGCAUGGGUUAGGGCUAUGGUUAGGGUAAGGGUUGGAGCUAGGGUUAGGGUUAGGGUGAGGGUUGGAGUUAGGGUUAGUGUUGGAGCUAGGGUUAGGGUUGGGCUUGGAGCUAGGAUUUUUCUGAGUGCAAUGAACCAACUCCCGAGUCUCUUGGACAUUCCUAAAAAAAUUUGAUUUUUUCCCAUAGGAAUGCAUGGGUUAGGGUUAGGGUUAGGGUUGGAGCUAGGGUUAGGGUUAGGGUUAGGGUUGGAGUUAGGGUUAGUGUUGGAGCUAGGGUUAGGGUUGGGCUUGGAGCUAGGAUUUUUCUGAGUGCAAUGAACCAACUCCCGAGUCUCUAGGACGUUCCUAAAAAAAUUUGAUUUUUUCCCAUAGGAAUGCAUGGGUUAGGGUUAGGGUUAGGGUUAGGGUUGGAGCUAGGGUUAGGGUUAGGGUUAGGGUUGGAGUUAGGGUUAGUGUUGGAGCUAGGGUUAGGGUUGGGCUUGGAGCUAGGAUUUUUCUGAGUGCAAUGAACCAACCCCGAGUCUCUAGGACGUUCCUAAAAAAAUUUGAUUUUUUCCCAUAGGAAUGCAUGGGUUAGGGUUAUGGUUAGGGUUAGGGUUGGAGCUAGGGUUAGGGUUAGGGUUAGGGUUGGAGUUAGGGUUAGUGUUUGAGCUAGGGUUAGGGUUGGGCUUGGAGCUAGGAUUUUUCUGAGUGCAAUGAACCAACUCCCGAGUCUCUAGGACGUUCCUAAAAAAAUUUGAUUUUUUCCCAUAGGAAUGCAUGGGUUAGGGUUAGGGUUAGGGUUGGAGCUAGGGUUAGGGUUAGGGUUAGGGUUGGAGUUAGGGUUAGUGUUGGAGCUAGGGUUAGGGUUGGGCUUGGAGCUAGGAUUUUUCUGAGUGCAAUGAACCAACUCCCGAGUCUCUAGGACGUUCCUAAAACAAUUUGAUUUUUUCCCAUAGGAAUGCAUGGGUUAGGGUUAGGGUUAGGGUUGGAGCUAGGGUUAGGGUUAGGGUUAGGGUUGGAGUUAGGGUUAGUGUUGGAGCUAGGGUUAGGGUUGGGCUUGGAGCUAGGACUUUUCUGAGUGCAAUGAACCAACUCCCGAGUCUCUAGGACGUUCCCUAAAAAAAUUUGAUUUUUUCCCAUAGGAAUGCAUGGGUUAGGGUUAGGGUUAGGGUUGGAGCUAGGGUUAGGGUUAGGGUUAGGGUUAGAGUUAGGGUUAGUGUUGGAGCUAGGGUUAGGGUUGGGCUUGGAGCUAGGAUUUUUCUGAGUGCACUGAACCAACUCCCGAGUCUCUAGGACAUUCCUAAAAAAAUUGAUUUUUUUCCAUAGGAAUGCAUGGGUUAGGGUUAGGGUUAGGGUUGGAGCUAGGGUUAGUGUUAGGUUUAGGGUUGGAGUUAGGGUUAGUGUUUGAGCUAGGGUUAGGGCUGGGCUUGGAGCUAGGAUUUUUCUGAGUGCAAUGAACCAACUCCCGAGUCUCUAGGACGUUCCUAAAAAAAAUUGAUUUUUUCCCAUAGGAAUGCAUGGGUUAGGGUUAGGGUUAGGGUUGGAGCUAGGGUUAGGGUUAGGGUUAGGGUUGGAGUUAGGGUUAGUGUUGGAGCUAGGGUUAGGGUUGGGCUUGGAGCUAGGAUUUUUCUGAGUGCAAUGAACCAACUCCCGAGUCUCUAGGACGUUCCUAAAAAAAUUUGAUUUUUUCCCAUAGGAAUGCAUGGGUUAGGGUUAGGGUUAGGGUUGGAGCUAGGGUUAGGGUUAGGGUUAGGGUUGGAGUUAGGGUUAGUGUUGGAGCUAGGGUUAGGGUUGGGCUUGGAGCUAGGAUUUUUCUGAGUGCACUGAACCAACUCCCGAGUCUCUAGGACAUUCCUAAAAAAAUUUGAUUUUUUCCCAUAGGAAUGCAUGGGUUAGGGUUAGGGUUAGGGUUGGAGCUAGGGUUAGGGUUAGGGUUGGAGUUAGGGUUAGUGUUGGAGCUAGGGUUAGGGUUGGGCUUGGAGCUAGGACUUUUCUGAGUGCAAUGAACCAACUCCCGAGUCUCUAGGACGUUCCCUAAAAAAAAUUGAUUUUUUCCCAUAGGAAUGCAUGGGUUAGGGUUAGGGUUAGGGUUGGAGCUAGGGUUAGGGUUAGGGUUAGGGUUAGAGUUAGGGUUAGUGUUGGAGCUAGGGUUAGGGUUGGGCUUGGAGCUAGGAUUUUUCUGAGUGCACUGAACCAACUCCCGAGUCUCUAGGACAUUCCUAAAAAAAAUUGAUUUUUUUCCAUAGGAAUGCAUGGGUUAGGGUUAGGGUUAGGGUUGGAGCUAGGGUUAGUGUUAGGUUUAGGGUUGGAGUUAGGGUUAGUGUUGGAGUUAGGGUUAGGGUUGGGCUUGGAGCUAGGAUUUUUCUGAGUGCAAUGAACCAACUCCCGAGUCUCUAGGACGUUCCUAAAAAAAUUUGAUUUUUUCCCAUAGGAAUGCAUGGGUUAGGGUUAGGGUUAGGGUUGGAGCUAGGGUUAGGGUUAGGGUUAGGGUUGGAGUUAGGGUUAGUGUUGGAGCUAGGGUUAGGGUUGGGCUUGGAGCUAGGAUUUUUCUGAGUGCACUGAACCAACUCCCGAGUCUCUAGGACAUUCCUAAAAAAAUUUGAUUUUUUCCCAUAGGAAUGCAUGGGUUAGGGUUAUGGUUAGGGUUAGGGUUGGAGCUAGGGUUAGGGUUAGGGUUAGGGUUGGAGUUAGGGUUAGUGUUGGAGCUAGGGUUAGGGUUGGGCUUGGAGCUAGGAUUUUUCUGAGAGGCACUGAACCAACUCCCGAGUCUCUAGGACAUUCCUAAAAAAAUUUGAUUUUUCCCAUAGGAAUGCAUGGGUUAGGGUUAUGGUUAGGGUUAGGGUUGGAGCUAGGGUUAGGGUUAGGGUUAGGGUUGGAGUUAUGGUUAGUGUUGGAGCUAGGGUUAGGGUUGGGCUUGGAGCUAGGAUUUUUCUGAGUGCAAUGAACCAACUCCCGAGUCUCUAGGACGUUCCUAAAAAAAUUUGAUUUUUUCCCAUAGGAAUGCAUGGGUUAGGGUUAGGGUUAGGGUUGGAGCUAGGGUUAGGGUUAGGGUUAGGGUUAGGGUUGGAGUUAGGGUUAGUGUUGGAGCUAGGGUUAGGGUUGGGCUUGGAGCUAGGAUUUUUCUGAGUGCACUGAACCAACUCCCGAGUCUCUAGGACAUUCCUAAAAAAAUUUGAUUUUUUCCCAUAGGAAUGCAUGGGUUAGGGUUAGGGUUAGGGUUGGAGCUAGGGUUAGGGUUAGGGUUAGGGUUGGAGUUAGGGUUAGUGUUGGAGCUAGGGUUAGGGUUGGGCUUGGACUAGGAUUUUUCUGAGUGCACUGAACCAACUCCCGAGUCUCUAGGACAUUCCUAAAAAAAUUUGAUUUUUUCCCAUAGGAAUGCAUGGGUUAGGGUUAUGGUUAGGGUUAGGGUUGGAGCUAGGGUUAGGGUUAGGGUUAGGGUUGGAGUUAGGGUUAGUGUUGGAGCUAGGGUUAGGGUUGGGCUUGGAGCUAGGAUUUUUCUGAGUGCAAUGAACCAACUCCCGAGUCUCUUGGACGUUCCUAAAAAAAUUUGAUUUUUUCCCAUAGGAAUGCAUGGGUUAGGGUUAGGGUUAGGGUUGGAGCUAGGGUUAGGGUUAGGGUUAGGGUUGGAGUUAGGGUUAGUGUUGGAGCUAGGGUUAGGGUUGGGCUUGGAGCUAGGAUUUUUCUGAGUGCACUGAACCAACUCCCGAGUCUCUAGGACAUUCCUAAAAAAAUUUGAUUUUUUCCCAUAGGAAUGCAUGGGUUAGGGUUAUGUUUAGGGUUAGGGUUGGAGCUAGGGUUAGGGUUAGGGUUAGGGUUGGAGUUAGGGUUAGUGUUGGAGCUAGGGUUAGGGUUGGGCUUGGAGCUAGGAUUUUUCUGAGUGCAAUGAACCAACUCCCGAGUCUCUUGGACGUUCCUAAAAAAAUUUGAUUUUUUCCCAUAGGAAUGCAUGGGUUAGGGUUAGGGUUAGGGUUGGAGCUAGGGUUAGGGUUAGGGUUAGGGUUGGAGUUAGGGUUAGUGUUGGAGCUAGGGUUAGGGUUGGGCUUGGAGCUAGGAUUUUUCUGAGUGCAAUGAACCAACUCCCGAGUCUCUAGGACGUUCCUAAAAAAAUUUGAUUUUUUCCCAUAGGAAUGCAUGGGUUAGGGUUAGGGUUAGGGUUAGGGUUGGAGCUAGGGUUAGGGUUAGGGUUAGGGUUGGAGUUAGGGUUAGUGUUGGAGCUAGGGUUAGGGUUGGGCUUGGAGCUAGGAUUUUUCUGAGUGCAAUGAACCAACCCCGAGUCUCUAGGACGUUCCUAAAAAAUUUGAUUUUUUCCCAUAGGAAUGCAUGGGUUAGGGUUAUGGUUAGGGUUAGGGUUGGAGCUAGGGUUAGGGUUAGGGUUAGGGUUGGAGUUAGGGUUAGUGUUUGAGCUAGGGUUAGGGUUGGGCUUGGAGCUAGGAUUUUUCUGAGUGCAAUGAACCAACUCCCGAGUCUCUAGGACGUUCCUAAAAAAAUUUGAUUUUUUCCCAUAGGAAUGCAUGGGUUAGGGUUAGGGUUAGGGUUGGAGCUAGGGUUAGGGUUAGGGUUAGGGUUGGAGUUAGGGUUAGUGUUGGAGCUAGGGUUAGGGUUGGGCUUGGAGCUAGGAUUUUUCUGAGUGCAAUGAACCAACUCCCGAGUCUCUAGGACGUUCCUAAAACAAUUUGAUUUUUUCCCAUAGGAAUGCAUGGGUUAGGGUUAGGGUUAGGGUUGGAGCUAGGGUUAGGGUUAGGGUUAGGGUUGGAGUUAGGGUUAGUGUUGGAGCUAGGGUUAGGGUUGGGCUUGGAGCUAGGACUUUUCUGAGUGCAAUGAACCAACUCCCGAGUCUCUAGGACGUUCCCUAAAAAAAUUUGAUUUUUUCCCAUAGGAAUGCAUGGGUUAGGGUUAGGGUUAGGGUUGGAGCUAGGGUUAGGGUUAGGGUUAGGGUUAGAGUUAGGGUUAGUGUUGGAGCUAGGGUUAGGGUUGGGCUUGGAGCUAGGAUUUUUCUGAGUGCACUGAACCAACUCCCGAGUCUCUAGGACAUUCCUAAAAAAAUUGAUUUUUUUCCAUAGGAAUGCAUGGGUUAGGGUUAGGGUUAGGGUUGGAGCUAGGGUUAGUGUUAGGUUUAGGGUUGGAGUUAGGGUUAGUGUUGGAGCUAGGGUUAGGGUUGGGCUUGGAGCUAGGAUUUUUCUGAGUGCAAUGAACCAACUCCCGAGUCUCUAGGACGUUCCUAAAAAAAUUGAUUUUUUCCCAUAGGAAUGCAUGGGUUAGGGUUAGGGUUAGGGUUGGAGCUAGGGUUAGGGUUAGGGUUAGGGUUGGAGUUAGGGUUAGUGUUGGAGCUAGGGUUAGGGUUGGGCUUGGAGCUAGGAUUUUUCUGAGUGCAAUGAACCAACUCCCGAGUCUCUAGGACGUUCCUAAAAAAAUUUGAUUUUUUCCCAUAGGAAUGCAUGGGUUAGGGUUAGGGUUAGGGUUGGAGCUAGGGUUAGGGUUAGGGUUAGGGUUGGAGUUAGGGUUAGUGUUGGAGCUAGGGUUAGGGUUGGGCUUGGAGCUAGGAUUUUUCUGAGUGCACUGAACCAACUCCCGAGUCUCUAGGACAUUCCUAAAAAAAUUUGAUUUUUUCCCAUAGGAAUGCAUGGGUUAGGGUUAGGGUUAGGGUUGGAGCUAGGGUUAGGGUUAGGGUUGGAGUUAGGGUUAGUGUUGGAGCUAGGGUUAGGGUUGGGCUUGGAGCUAGGACUUUUCUGAGUGCAAUGAACCAACUCCCGAGUCUCUAGGACGUUCCCUAAAAAAAAUUGAUUUUUUCCCAUAGGAAUGCAUGGGUUAGGGUUAGGGUUAGGGUUGGAGCUAGGGUUAGGGUUAGGGUUAGGGUUAGAGUUAGGGUUAGUGUUGGAGCUAGGGUUAGGGUUGGGCUUGGAGCUAGGAUUUUUCUGAGUGCACUGAACCAACUCCCGAGUCUCUAGGACAUUCCUAAAAAAAAUUGAUUUUUUUCCCAUAGGAAUGCAUGGGUUAGGGUUAGGGUUAGGGUUGGAGCUAGGGUUAGUGUUAGGUUUAGGGUUGGAGUUAGGGUUAGUGUUGGAGUUAGGGUUAGGGUUGGGCUUGGAGCUAGGAUUUUUCUGAGUGCAAUGAACCAACUCCCGAGUCUCUAGGACGUUCCUAAAAAAAUUUGAUUUUUUCCCAUAGGAAUGCAUGGGUUAGGGUUAGGGUUAGGGUUGGAGCUAGGGUUAGGGUUAGGGUUAGGGUUGGAGUUAGGGUUAGUGUUGGAGCUAGGGUUAGGGUUGGGCUUGGAGCUAGGAUUUUUCUGAGUGCACUGAACCAACUCCCGAGUCUCUAGGACAUUCCUAAAAAAAUUUGAUUUUUUCCCAUAGGAAUGCAUGGGUUAGGGUUAUGGUUAGGGUUAGGGUUGGAGCUAGGGUUAGGGUUAGGGUUAGGGUUGGAGUUAGGGUUAGUGUUGGAGCUAGGGUUAGGGUUGGGCUUGGAGCUAGGAUUUUUCUGAGAGCACUGAACCAACUCCCGAGUCUCUAGGACAUUCCUAAAAAAAUUUGAUUUUUUCCCAUAGGAAUGCAUGGGUUAGGGUUAUGGUUAGGGUUAGGGUUGGAGCUAGGGUUAGGGUUAGGGUUAGGGUUGGAGUUAUGGUUAGUGUUGGAGCUAGGGUUAGGGUUGGGCUUGGAGCUAGGAUUUUUCUGAGUGCAAUGAACCAACUCCAGAGUCUCUAGGACGUUCCUAAAAAAAUUUGAUUUUUUCCCAUAGGAAUGCAUGGGUUAGGGUUAGGGUUAGGGUUGGAGCUAGGGUUAGGGUUAGGGUUAGGGUUAGGGUUGGAGUUAGGGUUAGUGUUGGAGCUAGGGUUAGGGUUGGGCUUGGAGCUAGGAUUUUUCUGAGUGCACUGAACCAACUCCCGAGUCUCUAGGACAUUCCUAAAAAAAUUUGAUUUUUUCCCAUAGGAAUGCAUGGGUUAGGGUUAGGGUUAGGGUUGGAGCUAGGGUUAGGGUUAGGGUUAGGGUUGGAGUUAGGGUUAGUGUUGGAGCUAGGGUUAGGGUUGGGCUUGGAGCUAGGAUUUUUCUGAGUGCACUGAACCAACUCCCGAGUCUCUAGGACAUUCCUAAAAAAUUUGAUUUUUUCCCAUAGGAAUGCAUGGGUUAGGGUUAUGGUUAGGGUUAGGGUUGGAGCUAGGGUUAGGGUUAGGGUUAGGGUUGGAGUUAGGGUUAGUGUUGGAGCUAGGGUUAGGGUUGGGCUUGGAGCUAGGAUUUUUCUGAGUGCAAUGAACCAACUCCCGAGUCUCUUGGACGUUCCUAAAAAAAUUUGAUUUUUUCCCAUAGGAAUGCAUGGGUUAGGGUUAGGGUUAGGGUUGGAGCUAGGGUUAGGGUUAGGGUUAGGGUUGGAGUUAGGGUUAGUGUUGGAGCUAGGGUUAGGGUUGGGCUUGGAGCUAGGAUUUUUCUGAGUGCACUGAACCAACUCCCGAGUCUCUAGGACAUUCCUAAAAAAAUUAGAUUUUUUCCCAUAGGAAUGCAUGGGUUAGGGUUAUGUUUAGGGUUAGGGUUGGAGCUAGGGUUAGGGUUAGGGUUAGGGUUGGAGUUAGGGUUAGUGUUGGAGCUAGGGUUAGGGUUGGGCUUGGAGCUAGGAUUUUUCUGAGUGCAAUGAACCAACUCCCGAGUCUCUUGGACGUUCCUAAAAAAAUUUGAUUUUUUCCCAUAGGAAUGCAUGGGUUAGGGUUAGGGUUAGGGUUGGAGCUAGGGUUAGGGUUAGGGUUAGGGUUGGAGUUAGGGUUAGUGUUGGAGCUAGGGUUAGGGUUGGGCUUGGAGCUAGGAUUUUUCUGAGUGCAAUGAACCAACUCCCGAGUCUCUAGGACGUUCCUAAAAAAAUUUGAUUUUUUCCCAUAGGAAUGCAUGGGUUAGGGUUAGGGUUAGGGUUGGAGCUAGGGUUAGGGUUAGGGUUAGGGUUGGAGUUAAGGUUAGUGUUGGAGCUAGGGUUAGGGUUGGGCUUGGAGCUAGGAUUUUUCUGAGUGCAAUGAACCAACUACCGAGUCUCUAGGACGUUCCUAAAAAAAUUUGAUUUUUUCCCAUAGGAAUGCAUGGGUUAGGGUUAUGGUUAGGGUUAGGGUUGGAGCUAGGGUUAGGGUUAGGGUUAGGGUUGGAGUUAGGGUUAGUGUUGGAGCUAGGGUUAGGGUUGGGCUUGGAGCUAGGAUUUUUCUGAGUGCAAUGAACCAACCCCCGAGUCUCUAGGACGUUCCUAAAAAAAUUUGAUUUUUUCCCAUAGGAAUGCAUGGGUUAGGGUUAUGGUUAGGGUUAGGGUUGGAGCUAGGGUUAGGGUUAGGGUUAGGGUUGGAGUUAGGGUUAGUGUUGGAGCUAGGGUUAGGGUUGGGCUUGGAGCUAGGAUUUUUCUGAGUGCAAUGAACCAACUCCCGAGUCUCUAGGACAUUCCUAAAAAAAUUUGAUUUUUUCCCAUAGGAAUGCAUGGGUUAGGGUUAGGGUUAGGGUUGGAGCUAGGGUUAGGGUUAGGGUUAGGGUUGGAGUUAGGGUUAGUGUUGGAGCUAGGGUUAGGGUUGGGCUUGGAGCUAGGAUUUUUCUGAGUGCAAUGAACCAACUCCCGAGUCUCUAGGACGUUCCUAAAAAAAUUUGAUUUUUUCCCAUAGGAAUGCAUGGGUUAGGGUUAGGGUUAGGGUUGGAGCUAGGGUUAGGGUUAGGGUUAGGGUUAGUGUUGGAGCUAGGGUUAGGGUUGGGCUUGGAGCUAGGAUUUUUCUGAGUGCACUGAACCAACUCCCGAGUCUCUAGGACAUUCCUAAAAAAAUUAGAUUUUUUCCCAUAGGAAUGCAUGGGUUAGGGUUAGGGUUAGGCUUGGAGCUAGGGUUAGGGUUAGGGUUAGGGUUGGAGUUAGGGUUAGUGUUGGAGCUAGGGUUAGGGUUGGGCUUGGAGCUAGGAUUUUUCUGAGUGCAAUGAACCAACUCCCGAGUCUCUAGGACGUUCCUAAAAAAAUUUGAUUUUUUCCCAUAGGAAUGCAUGGGUUAGGGUUAGGGUUAGGGUUGGAGCUAGGGUUAGGGUUAGGGUUAGGGUUGGAGUUAGGGUUAGUGUUGGAGCUAGGGUUAGGGUUGGGCUUGGAGCUAGGAUUUUUCUGAGUGCACUGAACCAACUCCCGAGUCUCUAGGACAUUCCUAAAAAAAUUUGAUUUUUUCCCAUAGGAAUGCAUGGGUUAGGGUUAUGGUUAGGGUUAGGGUUGGAGCUAGGGUUAGGGUUAGGGUUAGGGUUGGAGUUAGGGUUAGUGUUGGAGCUAGGGUUAGGGUUGGGCUUGGAGCUAGGAUUUUUCUGAGUGCACUGAACCAACUCCCGAGUCUCUAGGACAUUCCUAAAAAAAUUUGAUUUUUUCCCAUAGGAAUGCAUGGGUUAGGGUUAGGGUUAGGCUUGGAGCUAGGGUUAGGGUUAGGGUUAGGGUUGGAGUUAGGGUUAGUGUUGGAGCUAGGGUUAGGGUUGGGCUUGGAGCUAGGAUUUUUCUGAGUGCACUGAACCAACUCCCGAGUCUCUAGGACAUUCCUAAAAAAAAUUGAUUUUUUUCCCAUAGGAAUGCAUGGGUUAGGGUUAUGGUUAGGGUUAGGGUUGGAGCUAGGGUUAGGGUUGGAGUUAGGGUUAGUGUUGGAGCUAGGGUUAGGGUUAGGGUUAGGGUUAGGGUUAGGGUUAGGGUUAGGUUAGGGUUAGGGUUGGAGCUAGGGUUAGGGUUAGGGUUAGGGUUGGAGUUAGGGUUAGUGUUGGACCUAGGGUUAGGGUUGGGCUUGGAGCUAGGAUUUUUCUGAGUGCAAUGAACCAACUCCCGAGUCUCUAGGACGUUCCUAAACAAAUUUGAUUUUUUCCCAUAGGAAUGCAUGGGUUAGGGUUAGGGUUAGGGUUGGAGCUAGGGUUAGGGUUAGGGUUAGGGUUGGAGUUAGGGUUAGUGUUGGAGCUAGGGUUAGGGUUGGGCUUGGAGCUAGGAUUUUUCUGAGUGCAAUGAACCAACUCCCGAGUCUCUAGGACGUUCCUAAAAAAUUUGAUUUUUUCCCAUAGGAAUGCAUGGGUUAGGGUUAGGGUUAGGGUUGGAGCUAGGGUUAGGGUUAGGGUUAGGGUUGGAGUUAAGGUUAGUGUUGGAGCUAGGGUUAGGGUUGGGCUUGGAGCUAGGAUUUUUCUGAGUGCAAUGAACCAACUCCCGAGUCUCUAGGACGUUCCUAAAAAAAAUUGAUUUUUUCCCAUAGGAAUGCAUGGGUUAGGGUUAUGGUUAGGGUUAGGGUUGGAGCUAGGGUUAGGGUUAGGGUUAGGGUUGGAGUUAGGGUUAGUGUUGGAGCUAGGGUUAGGGUUGGGCUUGGAGCUAGGAUUUUUCUGAGUGCAAUGAACCAACCCCCGAGUCUCUAGGACGUUCCUAAAAAAAUUUGAUUUUUUCCCAUAGGAAUGCAUGGGUUAGGGUUAUGGUUAGGGUUAGGGUUGGAGCUAGG